rnacentral:misc_RNA from 1 species
CCAAUUUUUAUUAUUAGUUUGUGCCUUUAUUGGUACUAAACUUCUAAUGUAAACGUUGAACUAGAUCAAUAUUAGUGUGUGGGAUAUUGUCUGGAAACAGGCAUAUACCCCACAUACUAAUAUAACCUUUUCUAAUAUUACAAAUUAUACAUACUACAAACAAACAAACAAAACAAAAGCUUUAAUAGGACUUAUAUAUAGGCUGAGUGGGUAAAAUCCUCAGUUUUAAAAAUUAAUAACUAUUA